rnacentral:misc_RNA from 1 species
GAUGAAGAACGUAGCGAAAUGCGAUAAGUAAUGUGAAUUGCAGAAUUCAGUGAAUCAUCGAAUCUUUGAACGCACAUUGCGCCCCCUGGUAUUCCGGGGGGCAUGCCUGUUCGAGCGUCAUUUCAACCCUCAAGCUCUGCUUGGUAUUGAGUCCAUGUCAGCAAUGGCAGGCUCCAAAAUCAGUGGCGGCGCCGCUGGGUCCUGAACGUAGUAAUAUCUCUCGUUACAGGUGCUCGGCGUGCUUCUGCCAAAACCCCAAUUUUUCUAUGGUUGACCUCGCAUCAGGUAGGGAUACCCGCUGAACUUAAGCAUAUCAAUAAGCGGAGGA